AAUAUAGUGCCUGAUAAAAAGGAUAGCUUUGAUAGAGCUAAUAAUGUAACAUUUUACCUAUAUUU
rnacentral:tRNA from 1 species